rnacentral:misc_RNA from 1 species
GUUGAACAAUGUUUUGAUCUUGGUGUACGGAUGGACGAGGUGUAGGUGCGUUAUGUAGGGAUUGUGUAGGUUGUGGAGAUGAAGGCAUAAUAGGGUGUGAGGUAAGUGAUGGAAAUUGUGAGAGUAUUGGUGUAUGAUUUGUGGGUAAGACAUUUUGAGGAGAAAUAGAAGGUUGAUCAUGUAUUGGUAUUGGAAGAAUAGGAGCGUCAAAUGAAGAUGGAAUAGAUGAAAUUGG